GGGUUGUGAGGUUAAGCGACUAAGCGUACACGGUGGAUGCCCUGGCAGUCAGAGGCGAUGAAGGACGUGCUAAUCUGCGAAAAGCGCCGGCGAGGUGAUAUGAACCUUUGACCCGGCGAUGUCCGAAUGGGGAAACCCAGUGUGUUCCGACACACUAUCGUUAACUGAAUACAUAGGUUAACGAGGCGAACCGGGGGAACUGAAACAUCUAAGUACCCCGAGGAAAAGAAAUCAACCGAGAUUCCCCCAGUAGCGGCGAGCGAACGGGGAGCAGCCCAGAGUCUGAAUCAGCUUGUGUGUUAGUGGAAGCGUCUGGAAAGUCGCACGGUACAGGGUGACAGUCCCGUACACGAAAGCACACAGGCUGUGAACUCGAAGAGUAGGGCGGGACACGUGGUAUCCUGUCUGAAUAUGGGGGGACCAUCCUCCAAGGCUAAAUACUCCUGACUGACCGAUAGUGAACCAGUACCGUGAGGGAAAGGCGAAAAGAACCCCGGCGAGGGGAGUGAAAAAGAACCUGAAACCGUGUACGUACAAGCAGUGGGAGCCUCUUUUAUGGGGUGACUGCGUACCUUUUGUAUAAUGGGUCAGCGACUUAUAUUCUGUAGCAAGGUUAACCGUAUAGGGGAGCCGAAGGGAAACCGAGUCUUAACUGGGCGUUAAGUUGCAGGGUAUAGACCCGAAACCCGGUGAUCUAGCCAUGGGCAGGUUGAAGGUUGGGUAACACUAACUGGAGGACCGAACCGACUAAUGUUGAAAAAUUAGCGGAUGACUUGUGGCUGGGGGUGAAAGGCCAAUCAAACCGGGAGAUAGCUGGUUCUCCCCGAAAGCUAUUUAGGUAGCGCCUCGUGAACUCAUCUUCGGGGGUAGAGCACUGUUUCGGCUAGGGGGCCAUCCCGGCUUACCAACCCGAUGCAAACUACGAAUACCGAAGAAUGUUAUCACGGGAGACACACGGCGGGUGCUAACGUCCGUCGUGAAGAGGGAAACAACCCAGACCGCCAGCUAAGGUCCCAAAGUCAUGGUUAAGUGGGAAACGAUGUGGGAAGGCACAGACAGCCAGGAUGUUGGCUUAGAAGCAGCCAUCAUUUAAAGAAAGCGUAAUAGCUCACUGGUCGAGUCGGCCUGCGCGGAAGAUGUAACGGGGCUAAACCAUGCACCGAAGCUGCGGCAGCGACACUAUGUGUUGUUGGGUAGGGGAGCGUUCUGUAAGCCGUUGAAGGUGUCCUGUGAGGGGUGCUGGAGGUAUCAGAAGUGCGAAUGCUGACAUAAGUAACGAUAAAGCGGGUGAAAAGCCCGCUCGCCGGAAGACCAAGGGUUCCUGUCCAACGUUAAUCGGGGCAGGGUGAGUCGACCCCUAAGGCGAGGCCGAAAGGCGUAGUCGAUGGGAAACAGGUUAAUAUUCCUGUACUUGGUGUUACUGCGAAGGGGGGACGGAGAAGGCUAUGUUAGCCGGGCGACGGUUGUCCCGGUUUAAGCAUGUAGGCGGAGGUUCCAGGUAAAUCCGGUUCCUUGUUAACGCUGAGGUGUGAUGACGAGGCACUACGGUGCUGAAGUAACAAAUGCCCUGCUUCCAGGAAAAGCCUCUAAGCAUCAGGUAACAUCAAAUCGUACCCCAAACCGACACAGGUGGUCAGGUAGAGAAUACCAAGGCGCUUGAGAGAACUCGGGUGAAGGAACUAGGCAAAAUGGUGCCGUAACUUCGGGAGAAGGCACGCUGAUAUGUAGGUGAAGCCCCUGCGGGUGGAGCUGAAAUCAGUCGAAGAUACCAGCUGGCUGCAACUGUUUAUUAAAAACACAGCACUGUGCAAACACGAAAGUGGACGUAUACGGUGUGACGCCUGCCCGGUGCCGGAAGGUUAAUUGAUGGGGUUAGCGGUAACGCGAAGCUCUUGAUCGAAGCCCCGGUAAACGGCGGCCGUAACUAUAACGGUCCUAAGGUAGCGAAAUUCCUUGUCGGGUAAGUUCCGACCUGCACGAAUGGCGUAAUGAUGGCCAGGCUGUCUCCACCCGAGACUCAGUGAAAUUGAACUCGCUGUGAAGAUGCAGUGUACCCGCGGCAAGACGGAAAGACCCCGUGAACCUUUACUAUAGCUUGACACUGAACACUGGUCCUUGAUGUGUAGGAUAGGUGGGAGGCUUUGAAGCGUGGACGCCAGUCUGCGUGGAGCCAACCUUGAAAUACCACCCUUUAAUGGCUGGUGUUCUAACGUAGACCCGUGAUCCGGGUUGCGGACAGUGUCUGGUGGGUAGUUUGACUGGGGCGGUCUCCUCCCAAAGAGUAACGGAGGAGCACGAAGGUUAGCUAAUCCUGGUCGGACAUCAGGAGGUUAGUGCAAUGGCAUAAGCUAGCUUGACUGCGAGAGUGACGGCUCGAGCAGGUGCGAAAGCAGGUCAUAGUGAUCCGGUGGUUCUGAAUGGAAGGGCCAUCGCUCAACGGAUAAAAGGUACUCCGGGGAUAACAGGCUGAUACCGCCCAAGAGUUCAUAUCGACGGCGGUGUUUGGCACCUCGAUGUCGGCUCAUCACAUCCUGGGGCUGAAGUAGGUCCCAAGGGUAUGGCUGUUCGCCAUUUAAAGUGGUACGCGAGCUGGGUUUAGAACGUCGUGAGACAGUUCGGUCCCUAUCUGCCGUGGGCGCUGGAGAAUUGAGGGGGGCUGCUCCUAGUACGAGAGGACCGGAGUGGACGCAUCACUGGUGUUCGGGUUGUCAUGCCAAUGGCACUGCCCGGUAGCUAAAUGCGGAAGAGAUAAGUGCUGAAAGCAUCUAAGCACGAAACUUGCCCCGAGAUGAGUUCUCCCUGAGACUUUAAGUCUCCUGAAGGAACGUUGAAGACUACGACGUUGAUAGGUCGGGUGUGUAAGCGCAGCGAUGCGUUGAGCUAACCGAUACUAAUGAACCGUGAGGCUUAACCUUACAACGCCGAAG
rnacentral:rRNA from 2 species